CAAUAGCGUAUAUUAAAGUUGUCGCGGUUAAAAAGCUCGUAGUUGGAUCUCGGCAGGCAGGGGGUGGUUCGCUCUUAGCGCUACUGCCCCAUUUGCCUGUGUGAUUGGCGGAGGUUUCGGGGUGCUCUUCGUUGAGUGACCCGGGGCGCCGUCAGGUUUACUUUGAAAAAAUUAGAGUGCUCAAAGCAGGCUUUUCACGCUUGAAUAUUCGUGCAUGGAAUAAUGGAAUAGGAACUCGUUUCUAUUUUGUUGGUUUUCGGAAAUCGAGUUAAUGAUUAAUAGGGACAAUUGGGGGCAUUAGUAUUCAGACGACAGAGGUGAAAUUCUUGGACCGUCUGAAGACUAACUACUGCGAAAGCAUUUGCCAAGAGUGUUUUCAUUAA
rnacentral:rRNA from 1 species